rnacentral:rRNA from 1 species
UACGAAGGGUGCAAGCGUUACUCGGAAUUACUGGGCGUAAAGCGUGCGUAGGCGGUUGAUUAAGUCUGCUGUGAAAGCCCCGGGCUCAACCUGGGAAUGGCAGUGGAAACUGGUCAGCUAGAGUGCGGUAGAGGAGGGUGGAAUUUCCGGUGUAGCGGUGAAAUGCGUAGAGAUCGGAAGGAACAUCCGUGGCGAAGGCGACCCUCUGGACCAGCACUGACGCUGAGGCACGAAAGCGUGGGGAGCAAACAGG